ensembl:lncRNA
AAUGUUUAGAACAUCUUGGAUUCUUGUAGUUAGAGUACUGACCAUGGAUUUAGGCUCCCAGUAGCUGCUGUGUAAUAAUAGAACCCUUUAAUACUCUAAAACCCCUUUUUGGAAGUAUGAAUCGGACUCCCAAUAUCAAACUCCACUAUAGCAAAUGUAUUAAGGAGAGAUGUAGUUUAGUACUCAGAAUAUUUAGUUUGCAGUUUCUGUAAAGGUUUGAAAACUAGCCAAAUUUUCACAAAGCAGAAACUUUGAAUUAAAAUUUAUGAAAACUCAGACUGAAAAUAAUAUGUUUUUGUUUUGUAGACAUGUGCUGAUGAAAUAGUGUUUCGUGUAAACAUUUUCUAUUGUUGGCACAGUACUAGAGAAUGAUGGCAGAGAUAUUUCAAGAAUAUACCUGAUUUAUUAAGGAUGGAUUUCCUUGGCACAUCUUUUUCCAGUUGGUCGAGGCUGCAGAUUCCAAGAAUAAAAAGGAGUUUCAUUUAGAAUAAAUUCAUGUGUGAUUUUUUUUUUAAUGACCUACCAAAGAAUCAAGGACUUCAAAUGCUAAAGAAGUUGUUGGAAAAAAGAUUUUUAAACAAAUUAACAGGACAUUACAAACUCCAGUUUUUACUUUUCGAUUGAUGGAACCCAUCCCAUGAUAUACAAAGAACAUAUAUAAAGAAAAAUGUUUAAUGUUCAGAAAAGGUUGUGAACUCUGCCCUUCACCAACAGUGAACAAGGUCCCUGAUUCAUGGCAUUGCCUCACAGCUAUAGGACAAGUAUUCAAAACCCAGAUAUUUUUAAAAUGGAAUGAACAUAUAUAUGUAUGUGUAUAUAUAUAUAAAUUAAUAUGUAUAUACAUAUCUUAGAUGUUAGAAGAAAUAAAAAUGAACGCUUUGAAGUUAUUUGACACAAGAAAAAAGACAUAAUUGUAACUGAUAUGAGAUUAUGAACAUAAUUUAAUUACAGAAAGCCUAGAGAAAAAUAGUGAAGUUCCUCUUCUUGGUUUAACAUCCUGGUUCUGCCAAGAAGCAAGAAUGCCAAGACUGCAUACCUUCUGUAUCUACUUAGUCCUCUAUUUAAUAUCUGUUAUUAAACCUCCUUAGAAUAAAAUCCAUUCCUAUUUUAUCCACCAUUCCCAGUGUGUACCUGUAAUCCUACCUUGGAAGUGGCAAGCUAACUGCUGAUUUACUUCACUGUUUUAUAUCAAUCCUGAAAGACAAGAACUUUUAUUAUCAAUGUAUUUAAACUGAGUUGUUAUAUGUAUAAUUAAUAAUUUGUCUUCAAAAUAUUUCACUCAAAUUAUCAUUUUUUUGAGUGCCAAGAAUUGCUAAGUAACUAUGUAACAUAUAUGAAGAUAGUCAUUCCCCAGCAAUCAAGCAGUCAUUAUAAGCCAAAAUGUAGUGUACUUGGUAUGUAACUACUCUAGACGGUACACUCAACACUUAAAAAUUCAUGUAAACCCUCUCAGAAAUUGAUUAGAAUACGAUUUCCAUUAGUGAAUUUUUUUUCAUUUUGCUCAUGUCAAUUUUCUUUUUCAUUUUAUAUUUAUACCAUUUCACUCUGGGAAAUACUGAAAACCCAAUUCUGGCACAUUGUAGUGAUUUCAGUUAAUAAAAGAUUUUUAUUUUAAUAACUAAGAUGUCUAUCCUAUGCAUAAGUUAUAUCAAAGGACAUAACAAUUAUUAGACAAAUAUAAAUUAAUUAAUCUCCUUAGACAUUGUGAAUGAGAAAAAAAAAAAAACAUUUUUAAAGGAACUACAUUUGUGUUUUUUUUUUGCCAAACCGGUACAAACUAGAAAAUGCACUAAGGACUGAGUGACCUGCCUUGUUCAUUUUGCCACUGGAUGAUGUAAGUUAAGAAUGGAAUUGUUAGCCCUAACUAUAUAUUUUCUUGACUUUCAUCAGUUUCUAAAGAAAUAUAAUUUAAGUGUUUGGGGUUUUGUUUGACGUGUAUUUAUUGAGUUCUGGUCUUAGACCAGGAGCUAUCUGCAUGUCACAUUUAUUGGAUGGCCAAGAACACAGUUAUUGGGAGACUUAAUGGCUCAAAAUCUUCUGAAUCAUUUAACUUAUUUUGUAUGUUGCAAAAGAAAAAAAGUUUAUUUUGCUUGAGAGUCACAUUUUUAUAACUGUACAGCUUUUAAGGGAUGGGAGGUGGAAAAUACCCUAAAAUAGGAUGUAGAUUUUUACAAUUGUGUUUAUGCUAGAACAUCUACAGGUGCAUUAUGUAAUUAAACCUAAAAUUGUUUAAAAUUUUGUGCCAUGGUCUUUUUCAUUCUGCCCUUUAGCAGAGUUGGUGCAUGUCAAUACUGCUAUAUGGACAAGCCUUGAAAUUAGGCUAAUAACCUGUCUCCAAAGCUUUAAGAUCAUUGCAUGAAAAUUACACACACACACAUACUUAGACAUCCAUACAUAGAUUUAGUUUAUUUUAGUGUAAAUGGAUUUUCAAUUUUAGAACAGCUAUUAUAGCUCAAAUUUGGCAGUUAAUGAUACUUUCUUAAAGUGUGUGAUUUUCGUGAUGCUUAACUAGGGUUUUCUCAGUGUUGGUCUGGUGUUGUGUUCUGUUAUGAAAGUAAUGUGUUGAUCAUCGUAUCUGAAUUGUAGCUUGCCCAAACCCACCAGGGUUUUUUAUACACCUUGAAAGGGUGUACCCUGUGUUGGGAUGGGGGGAUUGGGAGUGGAACACAGCUUUGUUUCUUUUCAAUCUGUAAAAGAAGUAAAAACAAAGAAUUGUUCGAUUUGGUUCUUGUAGACUCAAUUCAGUAGACUUAAUUCCACAGGAAUAGUUGUCUGCUGGAGACAUGGCAGGAAGGGAUAUCAGAUUCAAAUUCAAAUUCCCUUCUCAUUUGAUAAAUACUUUGAAAUCUUACAGAGCUGCUAAUUAUAGCAGUCUUUUACAUGGCACAUUUUUGAUACGUUAUAUUGACACCUCUGUUUAAACACUAGUGCUUUUUGCCAUCUGAUAAUGUACCAUUCUGAUUUCUCACUUUUGUAGCACAAGUGUAUUCUUGUAAAGAAUUAAAUUCAUAACUUCUACCUAAGUUACCUUUAUCUAUUUCCAGUUAUUGUGGGAUGUCAGUUUCUUUGCUAUCCUCGUCUAUUCAGAAAUGAAGCUUGGGAAUCAUAAAUUUCCAGGCAAAGAAUAUAAAUCCCAGAUAAGAAUUUGUAGAUGGUAUAUGUUAGAUUCCCAUUUUAAACUAAUAGCUAGGAUCCAGGGAGUGUUUGAUCAAAAUGCCUCUUGGGUUUUCAGACAUGCUUAUAUGAAAUGCUUUAUUUUCCUAUGCAUAAAAAAUAUUCCUAGAUACGUUCUCAGAAUGCUUUAUUUUGUUUCUAGGAGAUGAGCGCUAAAGCAGACUCCAAGAUUAACAUAAAACUCUUGAGGUAAUAAGGAAUGUGGUAUUAGCUAAACAGAAGCUGGCAUGCUCUCUGCCACUUAAGACAUACUGCAUGUAUAAGGGGGGGAAAGACAUGAAAACUGGAAGUGUGAUUCCAAUAACGCACAAAGUAAAUUUUGUGCAUAGAAAAUACGGGAAUUCCUGGUAGCUUAAAGCUUCGGGGGUUAACUGCAGUGUAUGAACACCUAGUGUGUUAGAAUUGCAGUGCAUAGUUGUUUGAAUACAAUAUUCCUUGUAAGUGACAACCAAAAUAUGUUGUGGCUCGUGCCAAUAUUUUUGUUAAUGAAAUGUUCAAUGUCUCACUACAGUCUGAUCAGAACUCUUGGUGUUAUAAGAUAGGCCUAAAAGCUAUUUUAUGGCUACUGGCCUAAUUGUGUAACUUUUUUCUUUCAAAAUGUUUUAUUAUAAUACUUCUGUCAUUUCUUUCACUUAAUAUAUGUCAAUUGUCAUAAUAAAAAAUUAAAUAAUUUGAUGUAUUUAGCAUGAUGUGUUUGCAGAUUUAGUUUAUUCUAAACUUUGUAGCACAUAGAAAGCUAAGAAUUUUCUGUAACUGUUGAUGAUGGUUGAAAGUUUUUUAUUACCCCAGAAUAGAUGAACUGUUCUCUUACAAUCUAGAAAGUAAAUUUGCAAGUCAUCAAUUUUCCCAAAAUAAUUGUUACAGCUGUUCAAGGAUGUGAAUUAC